UAGGGAAUCUUCCACAAUGGACGCAAGUCUGAUGGAGCAACGCCGCGUGAGUGAAGAAGGCUUUCGGGUCGUAAAACUCUGUUAUUGAAGAAGAACGUGUGUGACAGUAACUGGUCAUGCAGUGACGGUAUUCAAUCAGAAAGUCACGGCUAACUACGUGCCAGCAGCCGCGGUAAUACGUAGGUGGCAAGCGUUGUCCGGAUUUAUUGGGCGUAAAGCGAGUGCAGGCGGUCUUUUAAGUCUGAUGUGAAAGCCUUCGGCUUAACCGAAGAAGGGCAUCGGAAACUGGGAGACUUGAGUGCAGAAGAGGAGAGUGGAACUCCAUGUGUAGCGGUGAAAUGCGUAGAUAUAUGGAAGAACACCAGUGGCGAAGGCGGCUCUCUGGUCUGUAACUGACGCUGAGGCUCGAAAGCGUGGGUAGCAAACAGGAUUAGAUACCCUGGUAGUCCACGCCGUAAACGAUGA
rnacentral:rRNA from 1 species